UUCCAGGACAGACUGCUCGGCCGGACCUGGUUGCAAAGGGUUCUUCCCUGAUUCUCAUCCCGAUUCGCACCAGUUGCAUUAAAAAAAAGGUUGUUUCUUUUGACGGAAGGUCUUGCAUGCCCUGGAGCUGCUCAAAGGACUCUUCCUCUCUGGCCCCAGGAUUUAAGGCUUUCAUGUUGAAUUGUUCUUUGUCCUCCACCUGCGCCUGAAGUUCCACCUUCGUGUUGCCCUGCCAGGGGGCGUGCUGAAGUACCCUGCUUCAGUGCGUCCUUGUGGACCGUACCCUGGGCUCAGGUCUUGUAGGAGGCCGAGUUGCAAAGCAAUCUGCUUCGACCGACGCUUUACUGAUUGAUUGCUGCCUUGACGAUCACGCCAGUCAUUAUGAAAAGGAGGCCGAGUUACAAUCAAUCAGCCCCGAUUGCCGCCGUGACUAAUACACCAGUCAAUAUAUGUUUUGGUAAGUU